CUCCGGGUAAAGUGGCCGCGUCGUCAUCACACCCGUACGGGGGGAAGCCGGUGCAAUUCCGGCGCUGACCCGCAACCGUGAGCCGCCCCCACGAGGCCGUCGAGGCCGCCUUCCUGGGACGGUGAGCCGGACUGCCCCGCGCGGACGUGACCGGCUCA
rnacentral:ncRNA from 2 species